rnacentral:misc_RNA from 1 species
GAUGAAGAACGCAGCGAAAUGCGAUAAGUAAUGUGAAUUGCAGAAUUCAGUGAAUCAUCGAAUCUUUGAACGCACAUUGCGCCCGCCAGUAUUCUGGCGGGCAUGCCUGUUCGAGCGUCAUUUCAACCAUCAAGCCCCCGGCUUGUGUUGGGGACCUGCGGCUGCCGCAGGCCCUGAAAACCAGUGGCGGGCUCGCUAGUCACUCCGAGCGUAGUAAUACAUCUCGCUCAGGGCGUGCUGUGGGUUCCGGCCGUUAAAAGCCUUAUUUACCCAAGGUUGACCUCGGAUCAGGUAGGAAGACCCGCUGAACUUAAGCAUAUCAAUAACGGAGGA